CCUGGAGGAGGCGGAGGAGCGGGCCCAGGCCGGGUAGGAGGUGGAGCUCUGCUGGGGCGGGGCUUGUCGGGGCCGCGCCCCCGACACCCGGACGCUGAGGCGCCGGGCCCCCCUGCCUCGCGGGCGAGCCCCAGAAGCUUCAGCGGUUUCCUUUCUUCUCGGAAGUGGCGGUGUUGUCGUCGGGGACCGGAGCGGGCGCUGGGCCUCCCGGGCCCGGAAGGAGUUGUCGGGUGGUGGUCGGUGGGGCCCGGGCCACGUGGCCCAGCGGCACCGGGGAAGCUGCAGACUGGCUGAGCUGCGCGCCCCGGGGGAGGCCUCUUGUUGGGGUCGUGGCCCGCUGGACUUUCUCUUCGGGGGACCCAGUCUCAGCUGUGGUGGGGGCUCUACAAAUUCCUAGUUUAAAUCCACACAUAAAACAGCCACGAUCUCUGGACAGGUGCACCCCCCUUUACACCACUGGGCUUUCGGGAAGGAUCUGCAUCAGUACCCGUUGUAACAAAUCCCAGGAGGAGCUUGCUUUUAGGACAGAAGCCAUUACGUUCUGGGCCGCUCUUCCCCGACACCAUUUCGGCAUUUCGGUCUUGCAGGAACGAUGCACUUUCCAUGGGGGUCCUGUACCCCACGCUGUACCUCAUCCUUGGCCGCCCGUGCCCUCCAGCUCUGUGCCUGCAGAGCCCAGUGGAGAGGGGAACGAAGCCAAAGCCGGGGAGUGGAGCCACCCAGGCCCUGCUCCUCCCUUCUUUCCCUCGGGGCUGCUGCCCAGUUCUCAUGGAAUAACCUGUUCGGAAUAGUUUGGGGCCAAGUCCCUCUUAAGCCAACGGAGCCGAUUCCACUCACUUGUCUUGACUUGCAGUGACUCUAAAGUCAGCUUUUUGUUCCUGCUAAGAGCCCUGAAGGGACCUGUAGGCACUGGUAGCUGAUGCAGGACAACGACAAAGAUUGAGUAGGACCCCUCAGCUGAGAUGGAAAACAGCAGGAUCCAGGACACUUAAAAUCCCUAUCAAUCCCCAAGCUACCACUCUCUACACGCUGCAGAUCUUUGAUAUCUGACCCAGAUUUCAUGUCAUAAAGGCCACAUCGUUGCCUUGAAAUGUUAAGUUCCCAAAACUAUGUUAGGAGGGAUAUCCUUACUGAUCUCACAAAGUCCAUCAAUAUGGACUUGACUGAUCAGAGACUGAAGAGGGCAAUCUAUCCCAGCAAGCACUCCCUGGCCUCCACCCUGCAGCAAGCUCCACUGGGGAGUCUGGGUUAGGAAUAAAUUGUUCUGGCAACUGCUUAGCCCACUGACCAAGCAUUUCACAGCCCAGGUUCAACGUGCCUCUCCAGCCUUGGUUUGGCCGCCCACGGACACGGGAGGUUUCCAGUUCCUUGGCAUUGGGACACAUUGUUUUCUCCUUCUGAAAUGCCCCCCUCUGUUCUCUCGACCAUCCUAUAUGUGAGUCUUCCUUUCAGGCUCGGUGUACAUGUACCUGGGAAUCUGGGGUAGAAUGGAAGAUGCCCCCAGAAGAGAAAUGAGAAAGUCUGGAAGACAAAAUGUGAACAUGACAGUUUCUUCUGGAACUGACCUUGACCUGAAUGACCUCCAUCCUGUUGUCUGAUUUCCGCACCACCAGCUUUGCUUUGGUAGUCACGGCACAGAACUGUGGGUGGACCCACAGUUUCCUCCAGUGUGAGGGGGCUGGGGAAGGAAGGGACCAUGUCCUUCCUGUCCUCCUGCAAAGUCCUAGGGGAGGUCUGCCCUCCCUGGGGAGAUCUGCUUCUGCUCCCACCACUGCACCAUUAGACCCUGCUGAUGUGAAAAGUUCAAACAGCACAGGAGCCCUUGGCGAUCUAGCUGUCCCCCACCUUCCCAGCCUCACGUCUGGAUCCCUCUCUGCAACCUCAUUGGACUCCUCGAAGUUCUCCAAAUGUUCCGGGGCCUUCUGUGCCCUGCGUGUUUGCUCUUGCUCUUCCUUUUGCCAGGAUGCCUUCUGACGUCCUCUCCUGGUCAGUUUUCAGUCACCUUUCGAGAUUCCCUUCCUACCUCUUCUUCUCCUCAGUCACCCAGGCAGGUUUUGGUGCUCACAUCUCCCCGCUCAUACUUUGACCAGCUUGGUCACCCUACUUCUACCCUCUUCCCACAGCAGCCAGAGUGAUCCUUCUAGAAUAUAAGUCAGAUGAUGCGGUUCCCCUGCCUGCCACUUUCCAGAGUCCAAAAUCAUGGCCCUGCGCAACAUGGUCCUUGGCUGCUCUUCGAGCCCCAUUUCCUGCCCUCUCCCCCUUCACUUCCUCAGCCCCAGCCUCCUUUUAGUUUUUUAGAAAUGCCGCAUCAGUUCCCACCCCAGAGCCUUUCUGCUUACCACCCCCUCAUGUCAUUUAGCUCUCUGCUCAUCUCAGAAAAGCUUUUCUUGGAGACUGCACCUCACAGUUUUAUGUGUCUUGGUGGCACCUACCACUUUCCAUCGUUACGCUCACGUAUAUGCUCAGUGUUUGUCUCUCCUCCAGGGAUGCAGGUCCCGUGAGAACCGAAGAGUGUCUCUGGAUGCAGGUUUCUGGUUCGGCUCCUAUCCCGUAUUGCUGUAACACAGUGGACACUGGUCGUACUUAUGGCCACUCCUCAUCAUUUGAAUAGCUUGUCUGCUUUUAUAUCUCAAAUCCUCAGCCUCCUUUGCAGCUGGGCUCCAGAAUGUGUCAGAGGCUGUGCCAAUCCGACUCGUGCACGUGAAGCUUCAGUCCCCGUGUGAGCAGGCAGAGGCACCAGGCUGGCCUGGAGCGCCCAGCUCUGCGGAUUCCAACAGCAGCAGACGCAGGGGGCUGUGAGGCCAGCACUCACAGCAACAUCCCUUCCCCGGGGGACGGGGACAUAAGACCCAGUGUCUGAUGCAGAUGUGGUACUGGUGGGGAGCUGCGGGGGGGGGGGGGGGGGAAGUUUCUCACGGGACCAGUUCUGCAGGGUUUGGGGCAUUAUUCCUGGAGGCUGAGCCUCCGUCAUGAUUCUCUACACCAUCCACCAAUCCUGAGAGCCACCCAGCAUCUUCAAUGUCCUCCUUUCCUGCCAGGUCAGCAGGGGCAGCUUUCCUUCUCCCGUCUAAGGACGCUGGCUCUAUCCAGUUGUACACGCCUUUCCCCCCACCCCCAGAUGGCUAUAAUCUCCAUUAGAUGCUUUGUCAAUGCUGCGUGCUUACAGUAUGAUGGACAGUGUCCUGAUGGACUUGGCAGUCUCGUGGGAGGACAGACGCACGGGCAGAGUCUAGUCACUGACACAGAGGGUGGUGGAUGCCACGAUGUGAUACUGGACCAGCACGCACUGGAAUGAGGGUCUGUGUCUUGGCAUUUGUACCUGGGAGUGUAACACACUUUCUGUCAUAGAGAAGGCAUUCAGUGUGUGUGUAUUUGUGCAACGAACGUGGGCUGGACAUAAAGAAAGCAAACUAUGGUACUUUUCUCCCUCAGUCAUGUUUUCCCCCACCCAUUCUGUAUUUCCCAUACAUCUGUGUCUUAGACUUAAGGUCACCUGAGGAUGAAGUAGAGACUGGGACCAUCAUUCGUUCAUUCAUUCAUUCAUUCAAUCAGUCAAUAUGCAAAAAUUUACUGAACUCAUGUCAUAUACCAAGCACGGUGCUGGGUGCUGGGAAACAGCAGCAAAUAGCACAGAUCUACCUGCCUCCUAAAAUGACAGACCCCAGUGAGUGGUUGGAAAGGGCAAUGGUCUCCAGAUAGGAAUGACAGAAGCUGCUUGUUAAGUCUGCACAAAAGACACGGGGAUUUCAUUUUCCAUCACUGCAAUUCCUUACAUCCCACGGUCAAUUUUUAUUCAUUCAAAGAAAAAGAGGUAAUAAAGGAAGGCUCGUCCGGUUAGGUGUGCACAGGUAAUUACCUUCUAACUGCAUAUAAGCCAAUCUGUUGAUAAAUCAGUAUUUGCAUGAGGAAUGAGCCCGAGUUUUCCAGACUUUGAGACCGUGAGGGAGCAGCUAAUAAGACAAGGCAGUGGGAGGACUGAACAAAAGAGUGUGGGUUGGUCUGUGGCCAUCUCCCUGCCGCUGCCAAUUUCCUGUCAACUUCCAUGUUAGCAGAUCGACAGCACGUGAGCAUCCACUGUGCUUAAGUCUUCACAGGGCGUGCUGAUUCUCUGGGCCUCCUCCCUCUCCUGUACUCUGCUGCCUUCCCCUGUGUUCUGGAGCCCCUGCUCUACUCACACCUUCUUCCUCCCUCUGCUUUUCGUUCUUCCUUCAUGCUUCUUCCCCCAGAGUACAAUUAAUUCAAAAGGAUCUACUGGGUGUCUAUUUUGUAUUCAAUGCUCUGCAGGAUUCGUGCGUUAAGACAAGAGCAAAAGAAAGAACAGAAGAAGCAAAAACCAAGUAAAGGUGAAGAUCCAAUGGCAGAGACCAUACACUGCUACACAACUGGGUUUUGCUCUCUAAACCAGGAGGUCAGAGAAGAAAGUUCCGGGCAGACGACAGUUUAGAAGGAAUGACUUCUCCAAAAGGGAGGGGGGAGCUGUGUCUGAAACCACAGCACUUGUCUGGGGGAGAGGAGGGGGUGGGAGUUUUCGGUGUGCGAUCUGGGCAGGAUCAGGUCGUGAGGAUGGGAGGAAGAGGAGAUCCGAGAUCAGAGGUUUCUGGCGGUGGACGCGGGGAAGCCCCCUGAGCUCUUUCACGUCACAGAUGACCACCCUGGCUCUUCGGUGCCCUUCCUUCCUCGAGCCUGCAUACGGACAUGGUCGCGAGUCCCCAGGCCACUGCUGCCAGCUGCACAGAUCACAAGCACUUUCUAUGGCCAGAGUUUCAGGGCUAAUCAUGAUGAAGAAAUUGACAAAAGAUAAAAUAGCUAUGAUGAGGAAGUUAAAAAAAAUCUGAAAUAAAGUUAUUACAGUUUUUU